UGCUGCUUCUCAGCUGGACUGUGAGCUUCCUGAGGGCAGAGGCUGUGUCCCAUUAGCUCAUAACUGCACCCUAGAACUUCACCUGGUACCCGGCACUUAGCAUGUACUCAACAGCUAUGUGAUGGUUUGGUGCAUACUCUGCACUGCCUCCCGCCCUCUUGCACUCCAUACUCCAGCAUGUGGACAAUGUUCGUUUCCUUAGAUGAAUUACGGGAUCUCUGACCUCCAGAUGUUCACUCAUGCUGUUCCCUCUCAGGCCUUGGUUUGUCCUCCCUCUCUGUUCCUAAUCCAAGCCAUUUCCUCUGCAUGUGUUUAGUUGUUUAGCAAGAGUGUAAUCACUUGCAAAGCCUUGCUUCUCCUUUUCUGUCCAGUCCCUCCCAGGCUGGGUCUCUCUGGGUCCUAGGGCCUCUCUUUCCCCACUUUUUCCUACCUGGAUGCCAACCCUCAACUUCAACCCAAUGAGGGGGCACCGACCCACUGUCCCCGCCCCACCUCAAAUAUAUUGCCUUGUCAAGGAGUUCUGCAUGACUGUCUGAAAUAUGGUUAUGACAGGGAUCAGGACAUGCUCCCCCAAAAUAUGGCAACCUGGUAUACUGGAUAUUUUUAAGCUGAAAGAAUUUGAGAUGCAGGAAGGACUCUUUGACUUUCCCCUGACACUAGUCAUAAGCCCUUAUUUAGUUCCUUAUGAAGUCCUCCACAUCACACAAAACUUAUAUUACAUAAAUGUGUAAGUUUUUCUCUUGUUAAUCUGUCUUUUGCUACAGAAGGAAAAAGGUAUUUUUUCCUCCAUAUAGUUACCUUUAUAGAGCUCCUAUGUUUUAUACAACAUGCAAUAAUAAUAUUUGUAAAGU
rnacentral:lncRNA from 10 species